ACCUGAUACACACAUACAAAGAUAAAACAAAAAUCUUUCCAGUGACCAACUUUUAUUCACGGUUACAGGAAGUUAUAUUAUAUAAUUAUCGGACAAAUCAAUAGGGAAACCUUAGUAACAAAACUGCACCAUGAAUAAUACUGAUACCAUGGAACAGGCGGCACAGGUUGAUUAUGCAGUUGCAGUUCUAUUAACGUCAUUAGCAUCAGUGACAAUUUUAGUUGACUUCACAUAUAUCAUUGUUUGUUUUAAGGCUCUGAAGAAAACUUUCUACCAUCUUACAAUAUUGGCUUUGUUUUUCAGCGACAGUA